rnacentral:rRNA from 1 species
UACAGAGGGUGCGAGCGUUGUCCGGAAUCACUGGGCGUAAAGGGUGAGUAGGUGGCUGGGUAAGCGUGUGGUGAAAGUCCGGGGCUCAACCCCGGAUCUGCCGUGCGAACUGCUCAGCUCGAGCAAUGUAGAGGCAGGUGGAAUUUCGGGUGUAGCGGUGGAAUGCGUAGAUAUCCGAAAGAACACCAGUGGCGAAGGCGGCCUGCUGGGCAUUUGCUGACACUGAAUCACGGCAGCGUGGGGAGCAAACAGG